GGGCUAAAUGUGCCCUACACUGACUGGCUCAGCACGUGCCUAUCCACUGGCAGGUGCGAGUAACCCAUUGAACCCCAUUUGUGAUGGGGAUCAGGGAUUGCAAUUAUUCCAUAUGAACGAGGAAUUCCCAGUAAGUGCGAGUCAUAAGCUUGCGUUGAUUAAGUCCCUGUCCUUUGUACACACCACCCGUCACUACUACUGAUUGGAUGGUUUAGUGAGGUCCUUGAAUCAGCCUCACCAGGGUUGGCCCAAAGCCCUGAUGGAGCGCUGAGAAGACGGUCGAACUUGACUAUCUAGAGGAAGUAAAAGUUGUAACAAGUUUAUGCUAUUAUAUUUAUGAAAAAAUUAAAA
rnacentral:ncRNA from 1 species